rnacentral:misc_RNA from 1 species
UCCGAGUUGACCCCGGCAGUCUCCCAUGAGUCCCCGGCAUAAUCCGCUGGCAACAUGGAACGAGGGUUGCGCUCGUUGCGGGACUUAACCCAACAUCUCACGACACGAGCUGACGACAACCAUGCACCACCUGUGCACGGCCCUUACGGACCCCGCAUCUCUGCGAGAUUUCCGUGCAUGUCAAGGCCAGGUAAGGUUCUUCGCGUUGCAUCGAAUUAAGCCACAUACUCCACCGCUUGUGCAGGCCCCCGUCAAUUUCUUUGAGUUUUAAUCUUGCGACCGUACUCCCCAGGCGGCACGUUUAACGCGUUAGCUUCGCCACAAAAGGGGUCGAUUCCUCUUACAGCAAACGUGCACCGUUUAGGGCUAGGACUAC